rnacentral:rRNA from 1 species
AUUGAACGCUGGCGGCAGGCCUAACACAUGCAAGUCGAGCGAGCGGCGGAUGGGUGAGUAAUGGAUGGGGAUCUGCCCGAUAGAGGGGGAUAACUACUGGAAACGGUGGCUAAUACCGCAUACAAUCAGAUGAACCCAUCUGGGAUUUGCUGGGAGGUAAGGUAACGGCUUACCUAGGCGACGAGCCCUAGCUGGUCUGAGAGGAUGAUCAUCCACACUGGGACUGAGACACGGCCCAGACUCCUACGGGAGGCAGCAGUGGGGAAUAUUGCACAAUGUGCGCAAGCCUGAUGCAGCCAUGCCGCGUGUAUGAAGAAGGCCUUCGGGUUGUAAAGUACUUUCAGUCGGGAGGCGUUACCGACAGAAGAAGCACCGGCUAACUCCGUGCCAGCAGCCGCGGUAAUUC